CUACGGGGGGCUGCAGUGGGGAAUAUUGGACAAUGGGGGAAACCCUGAUCCAGCAAUGCCGCGUGUGUGAAGAAGGCCUGCGGGUUGUAAAGCACUUUCGGUUGGGAGGACUGCUUCUAGCACUAAUAUUGUUGGAAGUUGACGUUACCUUCAGAAGAAGCACCGGCUAACUCCGUGCCAGCAGCCGCGGUAAUACGGGGGGUGCAAGCGUUAAUCGGAAUUACUGGGCGUAAAGCGCGCGUAGGCGGCUAGAUCAGUCGGGUGUGAAAGCCCCGGGCUUAACCUGGGAACUGCAUCCGAUACUGUCUAGCUUGAGUACAGGAGAGGAGAGUGGAAUGCCACAUGUAGCGGUGAAAUGCGUAGAUAUGUGGAGGAACACCAAUGGCGAAGGCAGCUCUCUGGCCUGAUACUGACGCUGAGGUGCGAAAGCGUGGGGAGCAAACAGGAUUAGAUACCCCGGUAGUC
rnacentral:rRNA from 1 species